AGUGAACGCUGGCGGUAGGCCUAACACAUGCAAGUCGAACGGCAGCACAGUAAGAGCUUGCUCUUACGGGUGGCGAGUGGCGGACGGGUGAGGAAUACAUCGGAAUCUACUUUUUCGUGGGGGAUAACGUAGGGAAACUUACGCUAAUACCGCAUACGACCUACGGGUGAAAGCAGGAGAUCUUCGGACCUUGCGCGAUUGAAUGAGCCGAUGUCGGAUUAGCUAGUUGGCGGGGUAAAGGCCCACCAAGGCGACGCUCCGUAGCUGGUCUGAGAGGAUGAUCAGCCACACUGGAACUGAGACACGGUCCAGACUCCUACGGGAGGCAGCAGUGGGGAAUAUUGGACAAUGGGCGCAAGCCUGAUCCAGCCAUACCGCGUGAGUGAAGAAGGCCUUCGGGUUGUAAAGCCCUUUUGUUGGGAAAGAAAAGCAGCAGGUUAAUACCCCGCUGUUCUGACGGUACCCAAAGAAUAAGCACCGGCUAACUUCGUG
rnacentral:rRNA from 1 species